CAACGCGUUGGGAGCUCUCCCAUAUGGUCGACCUGCAGGCGGCCGCGAAUUCACUAGUGAUUAGAGUUUGAUCAUGGCUCAGAACGAACGCUGGCGGCAUGCCUAACACAUGCAAGUCGAACGAAGGCUUCGGCCUUAGUGGCGCACGGGUGCGUAACGCGUGGGAAUCUGCCCCUUGGUUCGGAAUAACAGUUAGAAAUGACUGCUAAUACCGGAUGACGACGUAAGUCCAAAGAUUUAUCGCCGAGGGAUGAGCCCGCGUAGGAUUAGCUAGUUGGUGUGGUAAAGGCGCACCAAGGCGACGAUCCUUAGCUGGUCUGAGAGGAUGAUCAGCCACACUGGGACUGAGACACGGCCCAGACUCCUACGGGAGGCAGCAGUGGGGAAUAUUGGACAAUGGGCGAAAGCCUGAUCCAGCAAUGCCGCGUGAGUGAUGAAGGCCUUAGGGUUGUAAAGCUCUUUUACCCGGGAUGAUAAUGACAGUACCGGGAGAAUAAGCUCCGGCUAACUCCGUGCCAGCAGCCGCGGUAAUACGAAUCGAAUUCCCGCGGCCG
rnacentral:rRNA from 1 species